GAUAAAGCCCAGCUGGGAAGGUGAUAGACUCAGCAGGUGGGAAAGUUCUCUCAGCAGGGAGGCCUAGGAGAGAUCCUGAAUAACCAGGAAAGUUACUGGAAGACCAAAGGGCUGGGAAAAUAAGGAGAGGUAGCAAGUGACCUGGGAAAAACAAAGCACAAGUAAAGGAGCAGGGCUAGCUUCCUAGUGUAGGGCUCUAGGCCAGAGCCUAGAGUUGCGGGUGGAACUGGGUUCCUCUACCUGCCCCAAGGAAGGGGGCCUACAAGCCCACUGUAAGGGUUCUGAAGCCUAGCAAGGGGGCUGUAGGUUAAGCCAAAGGCAGGAUGAGGCACGGCCCCAGAGAGGGUGGAAUAAUUUCUUUUCUGUUAAAGACAUCUUUGGACUCUUAGUUUGGACAGUGGUGACCCUUGAAGGGGUGCAGGGCUGACAGAAAAAGCAAGUGAGCACUCUCCUAACGAGAGGCAGGCAGCUCUCGUCUAAUGAGAGAGUUGUGAUGCUACAAGGGGUUGUGUAGUGGUUCUCUCUGUUACAAGCCCUCGGUUACUGAUCAAUCUGGAAGGUGUUUUAAAAUAGUGUUUUAAUUAUAUAGUUUGUGCUGUCAACAAGCUUAUUUGUUACAUGUAGAGUCUAAGGUUUUUGCUGUACAGCUGAAUUACUGUAAUCCUGCAGUUAAUAAUUACCAUUGUAAAACUUCAUCAAAAAUCAGUUUUGGCUGGGACAAUCUCUCUGUCAGGAUAUGUCCUGUGUCAGUUGGCUCACUGAAUUAUUAUAAAUGCUCUGGUUUGAAACUACACAAAAAUCCGUCUGCAUUCUGAUGGAGAACAUGUUCUUCCCGUGGCAGGAGAGAGCCUUCCUUGAUGAGAAAAUCACACAGAUGGAGCAGUGUGCAUCCCACUUUCCCUAGCCAGGAGAACAGUUCCAUGAUCCGACUGUCAACAUACAUCCUACGGCAGUUACAUUGGUCACAAGCACAUGGUAUAUGCCCAUAGGCAGGAUUUGGCCCUAAAGAAAUGCACCAAGGAACACAAACUAUUUGUGCUUCCUGCCUCUGCCAGACCCACAGGAAGUUUGUCAUUAAUAAAGAUACAAGCAAGGAAUUCCAAACUCUUGGAGUCCUAGAGAAUUCCUGAAGCCUCUGGAAGCCUUCCUUUCUAAUGACUUCACUAUGGCUCCCACUUCGAUGCUUGCUUGCUUUCCAAACAAUAAGUAUUUAUUGAAUUGAGUAUGAAAAGCUUUCUGGGGGUUGAUCCUGCACCGUACAAGUUAAUGGGAAAUUACCCAUAUACUUGAAUAGGAGCAGGACCAAGCCUUGGCUACCUAACUUGUUCUGAUCACUACCAAAUCUGCAUGCACUUGCAAGAUCUGCUGAAUCGACAACUUUGAAAAAUAGAGUACAGUCUGUGCAAGUUUCCCAAACUGCCCCAUCAGCGGGCCAGUACCCUGACCUAGAGGGGCAAUCUCUAGGGGUAAGAGAACAGUUCUUUCUCCAUUGACACCACUGAUGACACUGUCCAUGAAGAUGCCAGUUCUUGAGCUGAUUUAUGUGCUGGGGACAUCAAUCCACUAGCAACAGCACUGAGAUCACUAACUCAGAAAGGCCACAAAACAGCUGUCAAAUGCUAACAACUUUCAGUCAUAAAACUUAGGCCAGAUCAGAGCCAGUGACCUAGAAGUGAAAAGCAUCAUAUCUCAUUAUUAUCCAGUCUGUCUUUUGGCUUGUUGAAAAUAUUUUCAUACAGUCAUUUGAAUGGAUGUUUGCUCUAAUACUGAACUGAUUGUUUAUUUGGAAAACGCAGCAGUAAUUUUGACCUUAUCCAUAGAGUAAAACACAGAUGCAGGAGUCCUUCAGUGUUUUCCCCCAGCAAAUGCUGAAGUAUUUUAAUUCUUCAGCAAACUUUUUCUUGCUAAAUCAUGUAACAGUCACAUGUGAUGUCAUCCAAUGUAUUAACCUCUAAGGUAAGGCUAAAUGUCAUCUUUAGUGUGUAAUCUGCUCUAUUUUUAAAAACUCCAGCACUGUUGUUUGUGUCAACACUGACAUCUUCUGGUUGCAUAUGAAACUUUACUGAAGGAAUAUUUUUUCUUAAGCAAGGCCAGUAUCCCAGAUGCAGAAGACAACAGAAUUUUGAAUAGUAAGAAACUAUAAUUGUUUUAUCUAAGCCUGCCAGUGUCUCCUGUUAUUGCAGGAAAAUAGAGCUUUGAGCUGAGGAGAUUAAUUGGUUUGAAAUACUUUAUUGCACUGCUCAAAAGAUAUUCUCUAGAUUUUUAAGGCCCAAGGGGACCAUUUAAGAUCAUCUAGUCAUACCACCUGUAUAAUGUAGGCCACAAAACUUCACCAGUUACCCUGUAUUGAGCUCAAUAACUUGUCUGACUAAAGCGUGUCAUCUAGAAAGGCAUGUUCAUACCUCAAAAGAAUUUCCACAGAAUAUGAUAAAAUAGGCCUAGUAGUAGAGUUGGGCAGAGGAUGGAAAUUCCACUUUGCAAAGGGAGUUGGGGAUUUUGAAAAUUUCACUUCAUUUCAAAUUGGAACAAAACCUGAACAUUUUAGAAUUCUCCCAGAUGCAAAACUCAAAUUGUUUUGAUUUUUAACUUUUUUAUUCUAUUAUACUGUAUUACAAAAUAAAAACAAUUAAAAAUGAAACAUUACUUCCAAAUGAAAAAUUGAAACAUUUUUCAUUCUGAAAAUGUCAACACAGGAAGUUUUGACAUUGUCAGGACUUUUUUUUCUUUCUCCAAAACUGAAUUUCUGAGAAACUGACCAAUUUCGAGAAGCAUGUCCAUUUCAAUGGAACUGUCCCUUUUCUGGCAGAAAAUAGUUCCAUCCAGGUUUUUUUCUGACCAGCUCUACUUAGCUACUUAAUAAUACUCAAUAUAUUUAGCUGAGAUCUUGCUCGCAGAUCAGGUUGUGUCUUGUAGCAAAAUGAAGCUCAGGACUAAAACUUCAAAAAAGAAAUAGUUAAGGAAGAAGCUACAGGUUUCUAGAGUUACGCAAGAACACACACAACUGGAAAGGAGACAUGGGUAGCCAUUGGAGAGGGGGUUCUGUCAGAAAAUAUAAGGGAAGAAAAUCACUCUGUUCACACCCGGCAUUUAUAAUAUAUUGCAGCUUGACACACUUAGAGAUGUGUCAGCCCCUCCUCUGCUCUUACUCCCAUCUAGUUACUGCAGAGCAGUGCCCACACAUGGGAGGGAUUGGCAGGUCACCAGGCCACCCACAGCUAAGAUGGCCUCAUUGGGUGGGCUCUUUUGAUCUACGUGAUGGGGAGCAGACGACGAGAUGUGCUGAGAGGGGUGGAAGCAAUGCAGGCAAACUUCAAAUGCUGCUGUCAACAGCUCUGGCUGUAAAGAAACAUUGUGGGGAGAGGAUUGAUAAUGCUGCAUUGAGGAUAUGCUGCAAAAUUUGACCCUUUCAGACUUCUAAAGUGGGUAUUUGGGAUUCUGAACUCUCUUCUAGCUAGGUAAUAUAGCCUAUAAUCAUUCCUAUCACUGUAGCAUCUUAUCUUCAUAGAGUAUAACUACAAUAAAUUACUGUCUUUGCUUUGUUUGAAACCACAAAGUUCAUGCAAAGGUGAAAACUAAGUCUCUCAGAUAUUUUAGGUAGCACAAAAUUAGGGCCUGAUCUAAAGCCUAUCAAAGUCAAUGGAAAUGUUCCCAUCAACUUCAGUGGACUUUAGCUUGACCCUCUAUAGA